UAACUGAAGAGUUUGAUCAUGGCUCAGAUUGAACGCUGGCGGCAGGCUUAACACAUGCAAGUCGAGCGGGGGAAGGUAGCUUGCUACUGGACCUAGCGGCG
rnacentral:rRNA from 1 species